UUCAUAUUUAUAACUUAUUGUCAUACUAUAUUCAUUUACUCUGAAGAUGUCUUAGGUUAAAGACGAAACGUUAGUACUUCCAAAUAAAUUUUAUUUCUAUAUUAUUGUCUAUAUGGCUCUCUUUCGUACGUUAUGCUGGGCAUUAAUCUUUAUAAUACGAUUACGAUUGCCGCCUGGUUCAUCACUUGCAAGUAUAUAGGGUACUGUACAACGAAUUUUAGAGUAAAACUACUUAUGGUGGUAUGUAGGCAGACAUAUCUAUGAUAUAUAGAUGAUUUCGUCCGGAAAGCGAUAAAAGAAAUAAAGACUUACAUGGAUUAUGGAUAACGUAAACAUGGACAAACGUUGCUCUAACUUCUCUAGUUUUCUUUGUUUUUUAAAGAAGAAGAAUUUUUACCAUAUGUACACCAAUUUACUUGUUACAGUAACAUCAUGCACAACUACAAAUAAAAGUUAAAUGAAGAUAUAUAGUCUGCUACAAGUUCUCAUCAGUUAUGCCCCCCCCAGUUAUAUUUAGUCUAACCUGAGUCAUUUAGUAUAAUGAAAAGUCAGUAUAUAAUUUGCUCCAUUAAUCUAUCCGAUUUACCGGCAAACUAUUUAUCAGGAAAAAAGUAGCACGAGAAAAGGUCUCCGUCAUUCAUAUAUAAAUCUAUUAAUAUAUUCCAGGAGUGUCAACAACUUUGUAAUUCUUGCGCGUAAGGGACGGACCAUUUGAUUUUUGAUGGGGGGGGUGGGUAGAAUCCCCAAAAAAAUAUCGGGCAAGCAAUUCAAACUUAAAAAAAAUAUCGUGCAAGACUAAACGGACGAAAAAAAAUAUCGAGCAAGACUUUCGAGUGGUAAUCCUUAUUUGCCAUUCGGUGCAUUUCCGCGUGUAGCCAAGGGCCGUAUGUAGCAACCAGGGGGCUGCAGGGUCCAGGAAAUGGCAUUUCAGAGACUCUAAAUUUAAAAAUUUCCUCGGGCCUUCGGCCCUCGCUUCCAGACCCCCCAAUCAAAAAGAGCUUCCUACGGCCCUGUAGCAUAAAUAAUGGGAGGACCAGUAUAAUUCCAAAAAUGGUUGUUCUUCAUUUCUUUACUCCGACUCCUAUGAUGAACAUGUACGUAAAAAAACUAGGAAAACUACGAUUAAAUCACGGCCGUAGAAACCAAAAUAGGUGAAAUUUUUAUGGGACACGAUCAAAGGCGAGGAUAUAAGAGCGAGAGAUUGAAAUUGAGUAGGAAUAGAUUUUCGAUCUAACAGUUUUCUUCAGCCUGCAGGGUUUUUUAAGAGGAGGGAGGGGGGGUGUUGAUAUAAUUUGAAGAGGAGAAGGAAGGAGAGUUCAUAGGAGUUCGGAAAAUAAUGUGAGACCAAGAGGAAAACAAAUUAUUACAAAAAAGCUGAAAAUAACCAAUUACACAGUGAAAGGAUGUAACCAUUAUACAUGUUAUUAGUCAAGUUAUCCUACCAAAGGUCUUGUUGUUUGCGGGACAUUCCAACACUACGCACUUUAUUGUUCAUCGUUCGUAUUGGUGAAGUGAAGCAAAUUUGCAGGUUAACUAACUUAACUUACUCAAUGGUAUAGUGAGUUUGAAUUGUGAUUGUGAUGGUAAGGGUGAUCAUGUGACUGUAGGUGAUUGCAUCCAAAUAUGGUGUUAGUGGCGUAGGAGCUUGUAAGACAGGGAUAGGUGCGUUUGGCAAUUAGUGAUACAUAAGGAAUAAAAAUAAUGAUAACACCGUGCAGGGUUUGAUUUUUGUUUCAAAUAUAUGAAUAUACAAUAAUAAUAACUAAAACAUGUACAUAUAUAACGAAA